GAGUAGAGAAAACUGUGAGAUACUAAUGUAGUAGAUAUAUCAUAACAGAGCAAAACUUAAUGUUAUAUUUUAAUAAUGUCAUUUUUAUUUUCAUUCAAGACAUCUUUUAAAAUUCUAUUAAGAGAUAAACUCAUGAACUAAAUAAAGUUAAGACCAUUAAUAUAGAAUGAAACUAUAUAAAAUCCUUUUUAAACAUUGUAUUAUCAUGCAUAAAUCCUUUAGAAGUUUAGAACCAAUUUUGCAGCUAUGUCUGUAUUUCGGCCCACAAAUCUCCCUUAGAUGUAAAACCAAAUUAAUCUGUAAAAAAUACAAAAAAAAAAGAUCAUUAGUAAACAAAACACAAUAAGAAAAUACUUAUAUUUAAUAAUCAAAUUUUUAAACAGUGUUGUAAUAUAGUGGCUAUGGCGUAGUGGAAAUUGAACAAAAAUUAAGGCCAACCAGGUCAUACUA
rnacentral:lncRNA from 1 species